ensembl:lncRNA
UCCACUAUGUUACUGUUCCCACUAUGUUACUGUUCCCACCAGGUUACUGUUCCCACCAGAUUACUGUUCCCACUAUGUUACUGUUCCCACUAUGUUACUGUUCCCACCAGGUUACUGUUCCCACUAUGUUACUGUUCCCACUAUGUUACUGUUCCCACUAUGUUACUGUUCCCACUAUGUUACUGUUCCCACUAUGUUACUGUUCCCACCAGGUUACUGUUCCCACUAUGUUACUGUUCCCACUAUGUUACUGUUCCCACUAUGUUACUGUUCCCACCAGGUUACUGUUCCCACUAUGUUACUGUUCCCACUAGGUUACUGUUCCCACUAUGUUACUGUUCCCACCAGGUUACUGUUCCCACCAGGUUACUGUUCCCACCAGGUUACUGUUCCCACUAUGGUACUGUUCCCACUAGGUUACUGUUCCCACUAUGUUACUGUUCCCACUAUGUUACUGUUCCCACCAGGUUACUGUUCCCACCAGGUUACUGUUCCCACUAUGUUACUGUUCCCACCAGGUUACUGUUCCCACUAUGGUACUGUUCCCACCAGGUUACUGUUCCCACCAGGUUACUGUUCCCA